UCGUCUGCUUCAAUGACUUUGGAGAGGGGUUUUGAACUUGCCUUUCGAUGUUGGGUUGGACGAAAUAUGUGGUUUGUGCUUGGCAAUACUUAUGGGGAAAUCUAUGCUGCAGUGUGUGUGUUCAAGUGCUUAGUGCAAUUCAACAUUUCACUUUUGAUGAGAUAGGCUUUUUAUUUUUAACUGAGUUCAAAUUCUCAGUUGGCCGUAGAGCAAUGCUGAAUUUGCAUACUUGCUCUGACCCAGUCCAGCAUCAUGAUCACGAGGGUGCUGUUCCCUCCAAGAAAACGUGGAAGGAAUGAAAAAUGACAUCAAAAUGAAGGGACUGUUGUGCCUGCUCUAUAAAGUCAUGGCUGACCUUUAACUUCAGUGGCACUUUUCCGCAUACCCCUCGAUUAAUGUUGAAUAACCCCAGCCUUCUUGGGUAGAAACUUCCAAAGAUUCACUGCGCUCUGGUCAAGACAUCUCAUCUGUGUCACAAAUGGCUGAUACCUACUUCUGAGAGAAUAAUCCUGGUUGUGGAUGCUGUAACCAAAGGAAGUAUCAUGCCAGCACUUACAAAUUCAUAACCCUGGUACGUUUCAAAAAAGGAUCUGUUUGCAACAGGCAGUGGAAGCCUUGGCAAGGGGUUGCUAAAGAAAGACAGCUGGAUAAACCUCCAGUGAAAGGCUGUCCUGUGGUAGAUCCAUAAAAAUAUUGCAACCCAAUGGCAAGCCAGGUUUGCCUCUGGUCCCCCUGUAAUAUGUCCACCCAGCCACCAAGCCCCCCAGGAUCAGCUUUAUCAUUUCAUACAAGUCCUCAAGACCAGCGGCGUCCCCAGCUUGCAUUCUCAUCUUGUUGACGAUAUGCUGGCCUCCAGACUGGCUCUCGGGGUCUCACAACUGGCUGCUAUUCGAUAUACCAAGGGCGCAGGCCUAGAAGACUAGUGCGCCUUUGGGGUUACAGGAUUUCUUGGCUCUGGAGGCUGGCGGACUCGAGGUCGGUGCCUUCGCAGGUUACUGGUGUGCCGUGGGAGAACAUGGAAGACUGUAAGCAGUGAGCUGGCUGCUGGCUGUGUGCCCAGAGACCCGAGUUCUUUGGGCACAGAGCUCGGAAGAAGAGACACAACAGACUUUUAACACCAUAAAUCAACCAGCACAUUUCGUGGGAGUUUGGAAAUGCUGAGAACAGAUGAAUCAUGCAACUUCUACAGGCAGAAAUUUACCCGAAGCAUCUCUCCAUUCUCUCAUACUGUGGUGAACUACAUAUACCUGUCUGGACACGACCCCUGCUGACUGCUCCUGUGGCUCCUCCCACAGACCCCGGUAUAAAGGCGAUUGAGGCCUGAGCCCUGCCCGCAGUCUCCAGGAUGUAGUAUGGUGGUCAACUACUGCUUGUUCUUUCUUCCUGUCAAUAAAAGACGAUAUCUCA